GAUGAACGCUGGCGGCGUGCCUAAUACAUGCCAGUCGAGCGAACAGAUAAGGAGCUUGCUCCUUUGACGUUAGCGGCGGACGGGUGAGUAACACGUGGGUAACCUACCUAUAAGACUGGAAUGACUCCGGGAAACCGGGGCUAAUGCCGGAUAACAUUUAGAACCGCAUGGUUCUAAAGUGAAAGAUGGUUUUGCUAUCACUUAUAGAUGGACCCGCGCCGUAUUAGCUAGUUGGUAAGGUAACGGCUUACCAAGGCAACGAUACGUAGCCGACCUGAGAGGGUGAUCGGCCACACUGGAACUGAGACACGGUCCAGACUCCUACGGGAGGCAGCAGUAGGGAAUCUUCCGCAAUGGGCGAAAGCCUGACGGAGCAACGCCGCGUGAGUGAUGAAGGUCUUCGGAUCGUAAAACUCUGUUAUUAGGGAAGAACAAAUGUGUAAGUAACUGUGCACGUCUUGACGGUACCUAAUCAGAAAGCCACGGCUAACUACGUG
rnacentral:rRNA from 1 species